rnacentral:lncRNA from 1 species
GUGAGAAUAAUCCACCCUUUUAUACUCUUGAUUAGUCAGAGCAUAAUUAAGAUUUUCUAAUACAGCUUUUUUUUUUUUUUCCUGGUACUGGGGAUUGAAUCAAGGAGCACUGGUGCAGCCCCCUCCCUUUUUUUAAAAAACAGGUCUCUCUAAAUUUCUCAGGCUGGCCUCCAACUUGUGAUCCUCCUGCUUCAGCCUCUCGAGUAUCUGGGGUUACAGGUGUGCACUACUCUGCCCAACUAGUUGUUACUUUUGAAGAAGGACACUGAUAACCAGAGCAUGUGAAGAAGAGGUUAAAGUAGACUGUAAAGUGUCUGGAGUUGUGUCAUAUGAGAAACUAUAGACAUUGUUUCAUUGUGUAUAAACUGGGGAUAUUGAAUUUUACACAUUUAAUGAAUAUUUGGAAAUUCAAGCUAAUAGAAUGUGCAGCAUAUGGGUAUGUUGUUGAUAGAUGGAUCUACUUUUGAUGAAAUGUGGAGGGUGGAGAGAAUGAAGAGAAAACUGAAUUAGAGAAUUAAGAGGAAUGAUGCAUCCUCUUCUUUGUUUUAAGCAAAUGGUGCAUGGCAGGUAGUAGUGAGAGAUGGUCCUGAAAAAGUAGGUUGGGCAGAUGGUUCCAACCUUGAAUGCUAUACCGGGGUAUGCAACUUUAUCUUAGUAGACAAUGGGAAGUCCUCCAUAGUAUAUAAACUAAGGAAUACUAAUGAUGAUAAUAAUAAAGUUAAUAGGCAAUAUUCUAAACAUAUAUACAUAUAUGCUCAUUUAUUUCCACAAGAUCCCUAUGAAUUGGAUAUUGCCAUUGUCCUCAUUUUACAGAUGAGAAAGCAGUAGCAUAGAAGUCCAGGAACUUCCCCAAAGUCACACCAUUUGUAAACUUAGAGCAGCAACCUGUCCCUUAUGCUGUGCUGGCCAAUGCCCUGGGAUUGACUUGCGGGGUGCUGCCUGCUCUAGCUUGUCUGUGCCCUACUUAGCACCUGUGGCAGCACUGAGAGCACUGUGCACCCCCCACCCCCUUCCUGGACCAGCAUUUCACUCCUCACUCUUCCUUGGAACUGCCCGAUAGAAAAACAAGGUACUGGAGAUAGAGGAAGCAGAUGAUUGAAAAAAAAAGUGAUU